AUUAUUAUUAUUAAAAGUAAAGUAAAUAAAAAGGAAAUAAAGGAAAGAAACAAAAGAAUAAAAAGAAGGAAGGAAACAGAAUAGCAGGAAACGAAACAGAGAAGAAACAAGGGAGAAAGAAAGAAAAGAAAAAGGAAAAAUAAGGUUUUAAAGGUUCCAAGUUAAUUUGUCAAUGUGGUACCGGAAAUCUCGGCUAAGAAAGGACAAGACAAAGUCAACGGGAGUUAGCUCGAAAAUUACGGUGCUUUUACGGCACUGAAAAUCCAGCAUGAUUCACAGAUUUCGAGGUUCUACAGGUGUUUUUCCAUGGUUUCCAUGAUCUUGGCUCUUUCAAUUUUUGCCUUUAUUUUGCUUCCACACAGUGCUUUUCAGCUUUGUUUAACGUUAUUCGUUAAGAACCCAUCAGGUAAUUACUUCAACUCUCUUAUUAAUAAAAUUUGAUUCUUUAGAUGUAUUUGUCGAUAAAUUGUAAUUAUAUUAUAAUUUUUUAUGUUAUAUUUGAUAGUAUGUAUAAAUUGUAAUUAUAUCUUUAUGAUUUUGCAACUUGUAUUCAUAUGUUAUGUAACCCAUAAAUAAUUUAAUCGAUUUUGUAAAUUUUAUUUGACA